AUCCCCAACAUGAGGCUAAGUGAUUGACUCUUGGUUCACUCCAGAUAUUAGUAGAACUCAUUGAUAUAGGUUCCUCAUAGUUCAUACGAUCAACAAUAAACAAUGACAUUCAUAUAUACUAAUCAAGGACUACUUGAAGAAAAUAGUACUUGUACAUUACUCACUAGUACAAGGACACAACAAUAACAAACUAUACGCAAGAUUAUAUAAAUUAUUAAUCAACAAAACCUCUUAGAACAGGGUAUAACUUACUCAUUCCAUUAAAGAAGAAUAAAUCCACCGAGUGAAACAGAAGAGGCUGGAUUCUUUGAACAGACCAUGAAGUUGAAGAGAAGUUCAAAAGGUUUUUGGAUUGGAUAUCAAAAUGGGAAAAUAUGAAUUCUUAUGAACGGGAAGGAUGGAUGCAGAUCAAUAAAUCCAAUUUCUCUGAAGGAAAUAUUCAUCCAAAUGACCAUAAAUAAAAUGUCCUUCCAUACAGUUCCGUCUAUUAUUUUCUCUACUCUCCCUCUUUCUGAUGAGUGAUGAGUAAUGGAAUUGAAUGACCUACAUGAGUCCAAAGAUUUUGUGAAUCAAAUAUUAUUUAAGGUGGAACCCUAACGAAAGAACUAUUCAAAAAUGUUUUAAUAGCUCAAUCACAA
rnacentral:lncRNA from 1 species